rnacentral:rRNA from 16 species
CCAAGUUCAAUCAAAGCUUACGGAUUCAGGGGGGAGUACGGUCUCAAGGCUGAAACUUAAAGGAAUUGAUGGAAUGGCACCACAAGGCGUGGAGUAUGCGGCUUAAUUUGACUCAACACGGGAAAACUUAUCAGGUCCAGACAU